UACGGAGGAUGCGAGCGUUAUCCGGAUUUAUUGGGUUUAAAGGGUGCGUAGGCGGAAUAUCAAGUCAGCGGUAAAAAUUCGGGGCUCAACCCCGUCGUGCCGUUGAAACUGUGCUUCUUGAGAGUGGGAGAGGUAAACGGAAUUCCUGGUGUAGUAGUGAAAUGCGUAGAUAUCAGGAGGAACACCGGUGGCGAAGGCGGUUUACUGGACCACAACUGACGCUGAGGCUCGAAAGCGUGGGGAGCAAACAGG
rnacentral:rRNA from 1 species